rnacentral:rRNA from 1 species
UCGAGGAUCUUUCGCAAUGGACGAAAGUCUGACGAAGCGACGCCGUGUGAGCGAUGAAGGCCUUCGGGUUGUAAAGCUCUUUCGCACGGGAACAAGGGAGAUUUGUUAAUAGCAAGUUGACUUGAGGGUACUGUGUAAAGAAGCACCGGCUAACUCCGUGCCAGCAGCUGCGGUAAUACGGAGGGUGCAAGCAUUAAUCGGAAUUAUUGGGCGUAAAGGACGCGUAGGCGGAUAUAUAAGUUAGGUGUGAAAUUCCAAAGCUCAACUUUGGAGCGGCACUUAAUACUGUAAAUCUAGAGGUUUGGCGGAGAAAACGGAAUUCCACGUGUAGCGGUGAAAUGCGUAGAUAUGUGGAGGAACACCUGUGGCGAAAGCGGUUUUCUAGCCUAGACCUGACGCUGAGGCGUGAGAGCAAGGGGAUCAAACAGGAUUAGAUACCCGCGUAGUCC